AAGACUUUAGUUAAAUUAUAAUAAGAGCUUGUCGAGCCCUAGUUACCUAAAAGUAAGUCUUA
rnacentral:tRNA from 1 species